UACGGAGGGUGCAAGCGUUAUCCGGAUUUAUUGGGUUUAAAGGGUCCGUAGGCGGACUUAUAAGUCAGUGGUGAAAUCUCAUAGCUUAACUAUGAAACUGCCAUUGAUACUGUAAGUCUUGAGUGUAGUUGAGGUAGCUGGAAUAAGUAGUGUAGCGGUGAAAUGCAUAGAUAUUACUUAGAACACCAAUUGCGAAGGCAGGUUACCAAGUUACAACUGACGCUGAUGGACGAAAGCGUGGGGAGCGAAC
rnacentral:rRNA from 1 species